rnacentral:rRNA from 1 species
GAUAUUGCACAAUGGGCGCAAGCCUGAUGCAGCAACGCCGCGUGCCCGAUGAAGGCCUUCGGGUCGUAAAGGGCUUUUCUGGCUGAAGAAACAGACUGUAAGCCAGGAAUAAGUGUCGGCUAACUACGUGCCAGCAGCCGCGGUAAAACGUAGGACGCGAGCGUUAUCCGGAGUUACUGGGCGUAAAGCGCGGGCAGGCGGUCUGACAAGUCUGAUGUGAAAUCACCCGGCUCAACCGGGCGAGGCCAUUGGAAACUGACAGGCUGGAGGGCAGUAGAGGUAGGCGGAAUUCCGGGUGGAGUGGUGAAAUGCGUAGAGAUCCGGAGGAACACCAGAGGCGAAGGCGGCCUACUGGGCUGCACCUGACGCUGAGCCGCGAAAGCCAGGGGAGCAAAC